AUUGAACGCUGGCGGCAGGCCUAACACAUGCAAGUCGAGCGAGCGGCGGACGGGUGAGUAAUGUAUGGGGACUGCCCGAUAGAGGGGGAAAACUACUGGAAACGGUGGCUAAUACCGCAUACUGUAGGAUAACCCAUAUGGGAUUAGCUAGUCAGUAAGGUAAUGUCUUACCUAGGCGACGAUCCCUAGCUGGUGUGAGAGGAUGAUCAGCCACACUGGGACUGAGACACGGCCCAGACUCCUACGGAGGCAGCAGUGGGGAAUAGUGCACAAGGGGCGCAAGCCUGAUGCAGCCAUGCCGCGUGUAUGAAGAAGGCCCUAGGGUUGUAAAGUACUUUCAGUCGUGAGGCGUUACCGACAGGAGAAGCACCGGCUAACUCCGUGCCAGCAGCCGCGGUAAUAC
rnacentral:rRNA from 1 species